AGUGAAUUGAGCUCCCUGUCAUUUUGCUUCUGGUGACCCAGAGAAGACAAGAAUUCCCUCUACCCAGAUUCCUCUACCGAUACCUUGGAUUUGACAUCAGCUGGCUUCUAAAGGAUCAAACCCAGGUCCUCAUCCCUGUGUGGCAAGCACGUUACCAACUAAGCAGCACCCCUGCCUCAGCCCCUACACAUCAAGUCUUUGUCCUCCAGAUCUAGCUUUAGCACCUCGGGGAUCCUUGGCUGAACCGAGUUUUACCAUCACAGUUAACACAGGAGCCAGAAGAGGAGAGUGAUGUCAGGGUGUUUAUUCCACCAUCCUUCCCUGCAACUUCACCACUGGCUGACUGGGGAUCACAUGGUCAUUAUGGUGCCCAGGGGCCCUAGGACAGCUCCAUCUUUGCCAUUUCUGGAAAUGAGACUUUGCUGUCAGUCACACAAGCCUAAAGGUAGUUAGCGGUACC